CCGAGUUUACAACUCCCAGACCCAAUGUGAACGUUACCAAACUGUUGCCUCGGCGGGAUCUCUGCCCCGGGUGCGUCGCAGCCCCGGACCAAGGCGCCCGCCGGAGGACCAACCAAAACUCUUAUUGUAUACCCCCUCGCGGGUUUUUUACUAUCUGAGCCAUCUCGGCGCCCCUCGUGGGCGUUUCGAAAAUGAAUCA
rnacentral:misc_RNA from 1 species